rnacentral:rRNA from 1 species
UACGUAGGGUGCAAGCGUUAAUCGGAAUUACUGGGCGUAAAACGUGCGCAGGCGGUGAUGUAAGACAGGUGUGAAAUCCCCGGGCUUAACCUGGGAACUGCAUUUGUGACUGCAUCGCUGGAGUGCGGCAGAGGGGGAUGGAAUUCCGCGUGUAGCAGUGAAAUGCGUAGAUAUGCGGAGGAACACCGAUGGCGAAGGCAAUCCCCCUGGGCCUGCACUGACGCUCAUGCACGAAAGCGUGGGGAGCAAACAGG